GUAGGUGGCAAGCGUUGUCCGGAAUUAUUGGGCGUAAAGCGCGCGCAGGCGGUCCUUUAAGUCUGAUGUGAAAUCCCACGGGCUCAACCGUGGAAGGUCAUUGGAAACUGGGGGACUUGAGUACAGAAGAGGAAAGCGGAAUUCCAAGUGUAGCGGUGAAAUGCGUAGAGAUUUGGAGGAACACCAGUGGCGAAGGCGGCUUUCUGGUCUGUAACUGACGCUGAGGCGCGAAAGCGUGGGGAGCAAACAGGAUUAGAUACCCUGGUAGUCCACGCCGUAAACGAUGAGUGCUAAGUGUUAGGGGGUUUCCGCCCCUUAGUGCUGCAGCUAACGCAUUAAGCACUCCGCCUGGGAAGUACGGUCGCAAAGACUGA
rnacentral:rRNA from 1 species